GACAGAUGUUAUGAAAAGGGAGGAUCUGGGAUAGCAGAAAACAAGUGCUGCAUUCUUCUUUUCAUUUGCUGGUGUGCAAAGGAGCCUGGAGGGCCACAUAACUCUGAGGUGCCGUAGGACGACUUUCGUGCCCUGGCUGGAGGGAACGAGAAGCAAGUGAGGAAGGAGCAGAAGGGAGCAGGCUGCCUCCAUGCCAUCAUUCUCCCCUCCUGAUGACUUUCUGCUGGGGCCUGCAGAGGUCUGAAUCUAUCGCUGGAGAAGGCGCAGGGAGAGGCCAGCCAAACGUUCAUGACUUUGUCAGGGCUGCAAGGUACAAAAGUGAAAUGAUAAGCUUGAGGAGGAAGGGGGAGAAAAAAGGCAGCACCUUAUGGCAUAACAAUAGAGAAGCUUGUCACAACAUAUAAAACCUCCACAACAAGGCCACUGUCUCUUUGCUGGAGCACAACACUGCUAAAAGAUGGUUGAACCAAUUAGAAAGAUUACGCUGGGAAAGGAAAAGACUAUCACCAGAG